CAGUAGCCGCGGUAAUACGGAGGGAGCUAGCGUUGUUCGGAAUUACUGGGCGUAAAGCGCACGUAGGCGGCUAUUCAAGUCAGAGGUGAAAGCCCGGGGCUCAACCCCGGAACUGCCUUUGAAACUAGAUAGCUUGAAUCCAGGAGAGGUGAGUGGAAUUCCGAGUGUAGAGGUGAAAUUCGUAGAUAUUCGGAAGAACACCAGUGGCGAAGGCGGCUCACUGGACUGGUAUUGACGCUGAGGUGCGAAAGCGUGGGGAGCAAACAGGAUUAGAUACCCCGGUAGUCCCUGUCUCUUAUAC
rnacentral:rRNA from 1 species